AAAUAAGACAUGUAAUAAUCCCCCGCCCCUCUUAGCUCACACUCUCUCAGGUCUAAGCAUCACGCAUCAUCUCGCCAAAUUCAUUGCUACUUGUUUAUGCAAUUCUUCAUCCAUUUUCCUAAAUUCAUUGCUCACUGUUUACCUCGCCGUUGUUCUUGAAUAUCUCGCCGUUGAGGUUUUGGAGUUGGCUGGAAAUGCUGCGAUGGACAACAAGAAAACUAGAAUUGUGCCAAGGCAUAUUCAAUUGGCUGUUAGGAAUGAUGAAGAAUUGAAACGAAACCUGUUAGAAAGAAAAAUUAAACAAGAUCUUCAUUCUCAGAUCGAUUCGCAUUGCUCAAUUUGCAACAGUUUAUUGUUCUAUGAUCUUAAAAUAAAGAGGAGGAGAAGAAACCUAUUAGAAAGAAAAAGGAAAUUUUUAGUUCUGGAGAUGAAUUUGAAGCUUAACAAACGGGGGAAGAUGUGAAAAAAGAGGAGAAGAAGAAACCUGUUGGAAAAAGAAAGAAAAUUUCUGAAGAGAAGAACAAAUUUGGUGGAAAAAUUAAGAGUGAGGAUGAACAAAUCUGUGUUGGGGGAAGAGGAUCAGGACUGUUGUUCUUCUCUAAGGAGGACUGCUACAACGAAGAAACCUCAAUACAGUGAACGGAAGGUGUCGAAGGCGGCAAGAAUUAAGAUAUUGCAAAUAAUUGGAAUUUCAAUGAGGUGUAUUUGCCAACAUGCUAUGUUUUAUCUUGCUGCUGCAGUAUCCGACUAUUACGUUCCUUGGAAGGAUAUGGUAUAAAUAUAUCAUAUGUUGGUUCUUAAUUCCAUGAAUUUUUUUUCUGCCAUAUAUUGCCUAAAAUGAUUAUGUUAUUGGUUAAGGGACAAGAGAUAUAUCAUUUGAAGAAAUUUUCAGUAUUACUUGUGUCUGAGGUGGAAUUUGUGUUUAGAGAAUUUGACCUUAGUUUCUAGUGUAAAAACCAAUAAUGUAAUCAUGAAAUGUAAGAAUCGUGCCUUGGUUUUGUCUAGUAGUAGAACUUGUAAUAUUCAAUUGUUGGAAUUGGGUGUCGAAGGGAGAAUAAGGAAAAAGGAGGUGCAAGUCUUUAUUAAGUUGAUAUUUUUAACUUUGUUAUGAAUAUUAUUGGUGGAUGUCCUGGCCCAUGUAAUUGACCCAUUUAUUUAUCUAUAUAUAGAUACUAUGUAUCACUAUAUUGUAACCCUAAUCUUAAUAGUGAAUAGCAUAUACUAUUCUUUCUCUC